rnacentral:rRNA from 1 species
UAUGUGAUCGUCUCUCGCAUAUCAAUAAGCGGAGGAAAAGAAACUAACAAGGAUUCCCCUAGUAACGGCGAGUGAAGCGGGAAGAGCUCAAAUUUGAAAUCUUAAAGGGUUUCCCUUUACGAAUUGUAGUUUAAAGAAGUGUUUUCUGUUGAGGUUUUGGUAAAAGUUCUUUGGAAUAGGACAUCAUAGAGGGUGAGAAUCCCGUAUUUGACCUUUACUUUCAACUUUGUGAUACACUUUCAAAGAGUCGGAUUGUUUGGGAAUGCAGUCCAAAAUGGGUGGUAAAUUUCAUCUAAAGCUAAAUAUUGGCGAGAGACCGAUAGCGAACAAGUACCGUGAGGGAAAGAUGAAAAGAACUUUGAAAAGAGAGUUAAACAGUACGUGGAAUUGUCAAAAGGGAAGCGUUUGACACCAGUGUUGUUUUUCUGAAAAUCAAUUAAAGAACUGUUUAUGCUAAGCUGUUUAGACUUUAUCAGCUAUCUGUUUAGUUUUGAGCUUUUCUUUAAUGCACUUUUCAGUUAACAAGUCAACAUCAAUUCCUUUUGCUGUAAAAAAGCUUGAGGAAGGUGGCUUGAGAUUCGUCUUAAGUGUUUAUAGCCUCUUGCCUAUGCAGUCGGAGAGAUUGAGGUCUGCAGCGUAGAUCCUUCGGGGCUAAAUGCAUUUGUGCUAAGUUAUAGCAUUUUAUAGACAACUUGUUGACUAUGAUUUGUCUUGUAGCUUACUCGCUUAUGUUAUUUUACCUACGCUUAGGAUGUUGACGCGCGUGUGUGCGUG